rnacentral:rRNA from 1 species
CCUGCCCUUCAGAGGGGGACAACAGUUGGAAACGACUGCUAAUACCGCAUACGAUCUAACCUCGGCAUCGAGGAAAGAUGAAAGGUGGCCUCUAUUUAUAAGCUGUCACUGAAGGAGGGGAUUGCGUCUGAUUAGCUAGUUGGAGGGGUAACGGCCCACCAAGGCGAUGAUCAGUAGCCGGUCUGAGAGGAUGAACGGCCACAUUGGGACUGAGACACGGCCCAG